rnacentral:lncRNA from 1 species
GCCUGACGAAAUAAUGUCUGCUAAUUGUUGAAUGCAGAACAUUGACAUAUUGUUGAUUCAAUUCACUGCAUUUAACCUCUGUGAUAGUUGUCUCAUUGGCAAUAGUUAUCAAAGGUAUCAGGCUUAUAAUUUAAUACGCCAGAAGCGUGUUUCGUCUACACAAGACUCAUCAGUGACGCUCAGAUCAAAAUAGUUAUAAGCCAAACAAGUACACAG